rnacentral:rRNA from 1 species
GAUGAACGCUAGCGGCAGGCUUAAUACAUGCAAGUCAAGGGGGUAGCAAUACAACCGGCGCACGGGCGAGUAACGCGUACACAACAUACCAUAUACUGGAGUAUAGCUUUGGGAAACUGAAGGUAAUCCUCCAUAACAUUGCGAGAGGGCAUCUGAUUGCAAUUAAAGUUCCGACGGUAUAUGAUUGGUGUGCGUUUGAUUAGCUAGUUGGUAGGGUAACGGCCUACCAAGGCGACGAUCAAUAGCUGGCGUGAGAGCGCGACCAGCCACACUGGAACUGAGACACGGUCCAGACUCCUACGGGAGGCAGCAGUAGGGAAUAUUGGACAAUGGGCGAAAGCCUGAUCCAGCCAUGCCGCGUGAUAGAUGAAGGCCCUCUGGGUUGUAAAUAUCUUUUAUCUGGGAAGAAACUCCUCUAUUCUUAGAGGCCUGACGGUACCAGAGGAAUAAGCACCGGCUAACUCCGUGCCAGCAGCCG